UACGUAGGGUGCAAGCGUUAAUCGGAAUUACUGGGCGUAAAGCGUGCGCAGGCGGUUUUGUAAGUCUGACGUGAAAUCCCCGGGCUCAACCUGGGAAUUGCGUUGGAGACUGCAAGGCUAGAAUUUGGCAGAGGGGGGUAGAAUUCCACGUGUAGCAGUGAAAUGCGUAGAGAUGUGGAGGAACACCGAUGGCGAAGGCAGCCCCCUGGGUCAAGAUUGACGCUCAUGCACGAAAGCGUGGGGAGCAAACAGG
rnacentral:rRNA from 1 species